AGGCCUACGGGGGGCAGCAGUAGGGAAUCUUCCACAAUGGACGAAAGUCUGAUGGAGCAACGCCGCGUGAGUGAAGAAGGGUUUCGGCUCGUAAAGCUCUGUUGGUAGUGAAGAAAGAUAGAGGUAGGAACUGGCCUUUAUUUGAUGGUAAUUACUUAGAAAGUCACGGCUAACUACGUGCCAGCAGCCGCGGGAAUACGUAGGUGGCAAGCGUUGUCCGGAUUUAUUGGGCGUAAAGCGGGUGCAGGCGGGUUAAAAA
rnacentral:rRNA from 1 species